rnacentral:rRNA from 1 species
UACAGAGGGUGCAAGCGUUGUUCGGAAUUAUUGGGCGUAAAGCGCGUGUAGGCGGCUUAGCAAGUCGGGCGUGAAAGCCCUCGGCUCAACCGAGGAAGUGCACCCGAAACUGCUGAGCUUGAGUGCCGGAGAGGAUGGCGGAAUUCCCCAAGUAGAGGUGAAAUUCGUAGAUAUGGGGAGGAACACCGGUGGCGAAGGCGGCCAUCUGGACGGUAACUGACGCUGAGACGCGAAAAGCGUGGGGAGGCAAACAGGG